rnacentral:sRNA from 1 species
UUAAGCAAUGGAUGGCCUGCCGAGAUA